GGCUCAGGAUGAACGCUGGCGGCGUGCCUAAUACAUGCAAGUCGAACGAGUUCUGAUUAUUGAAAGGUGCUUGCAUCUUGAUUUAAUUUUGAACGAGUGGCGGACGGGUGAGUAACACGUGGGUAACCUGCCCUUAAGUGGGGGAUAACAUUUGGAAACAGAUGCUAAUACCGCAUAAAUCCAAGAACCGCAUGGUUCUUGGCUGAAAGAUGGCGUAAGCUAUCGCUUUUGGAUGGACCCGCGGCGUAUUAGCUAGUUGGUGAGGUAACGGCUCACCAAGGCAAUGAUACGUAGCCGAACUGAGAGGUUGAUCGGCCACAUUGGGACUGAGACACGGCCCAAACUCCUACGGGAGGCAGCAGUAGGGAAUCUUCCACAAUGGACGCAAGUCUGAUGGAGCAACGCCGCGUGAGUGAAGAAGGCUUUCGGGUCGUAAAACUCUGUUGUUGGAGAAGAAUGGUCGGCAGAGUAACUGUUGUCGGCGUGACGGUAUCCAACCAGAAAGCCACGGCUAACUACGUGCCAGCAGCCGCGGUAAUACGUAGGUGGCAAGCGUUAUCCGGAUUUAUUGGGCGUAAAGCGAGCGCAGGCGGUUUUUUAAGUCUGAUGUGAAAGCCCUCGGCUUAACCGAGGAAGUGCAUCGGAAACUGGGAAACUUGAGUGCAGAAGAGGACAGUGGAACUCCAUGUGUAGCGGUGAAAUGCGUAGAUAUAUGGAAGAACACCAGUGGCGAAGGCGGCUGUCUGGUCUGUAACUGACGCUGAGGCUCGAAAGCAUGGGUAGCGAACAGGAUUAGAUACCCUGGUAGUCCAUGCCGUAAACGAUGAAUGCUAGGUGUUGGAGGGUUUCCGCCCUUCAGUGCCGCAGCCAACGCAUUAAGCAUUCCGCCUGGGGAGUACGACCGCAAGGUUGAAACUCAAAGGAAUUGACGGGGGCCCGCACAAGCGGUGGAGCAUGUGGUUUAAUUCGAAGCAACGCGAAGAACCUUACCAGGUCUUGACAUCUUUUGAUCACCUGAGAGAUCAGGUUUCCUCUUCGGGGGCAAAAUGACAGGUGGUGCAUGGUUGCCGUCAGCUCGUGUCGUGAGAUGUUGGGUUAAGUCCCGCAACGAGCGCAACCCUUAUGACUAGUUGCCAGCAUUUAGUUGGGCACUCUAGUAAGACUGCCGGUGACAAACCGGAGGAAGGUGGGGAUGACGUCAAAUCAUCAUGCCCUUUAUGACCUGGGCUACACACGUGCUACAAUGGAUGGUACAACGAGUUGCGAGACCGCGAGGUCAAGCUAAUCUCUUAAAGCCAUUCUCAGUUCGGACUGUAGGCUGCAACUCGCCUACACGAAGUCGGAAUCGCUAGUAAUCGCGGAUCAGCACGCCGCGGUGAAUACGUUCCCGGGCCUUGUACACACCGCCCGUCACACCAUGAGAGUUUGUAACACCCGAAGCCGGUGGCGUAACCCUUUUAGGGAGCGAGCCGUCUAAGGUGGGA
rnacentral:rRNA from 1 species